UUGACUAUUCAUCUAGAUCCCUGUACAUAGCUUCCCACUGCGGUCACAGAGCUGACAACAUAAACAAAAGUCAGUCUGCUACCCUGAUUAUAUAGCAGAAGACAGGAAGUGCAUGUGCAUGUAUCAAAAAUAAAUUCAUCUCAUGGUUGCCAAAAGAAGAUUGUUAAUUAGUCAAAUUCAGUAACGAAUCUCUCCGUCCAGAAGGGUUCAUUCAUGCAGUUUUCUUUGGAGGUGGUUGUGGCUUUAGUAAAAAAGAAUUUUGAUAUAAAUCCUAUAGGGACUAGCGAAUGAGAAACUGAGCUAACAAAAUGGUUUGCAUGUCAAGAACUAAAAAUAGUUACCUGUUGACCGAUUGAUGCAUCCCAUACGCUCAGGAGUGGCAUAGACCAUUGCAUGUGGUGGCUGCCCUGAGAAGUGAAUCAAUAUUGACCAAGCUGCAAGGGAAAGGACCUUUUCAAGUUAAUACUGGCCACAUGACUUGUGAUAUGCAGCACUGAAGCGGUCAAAUAUUUUUACAUGCAACUUGCGAAGAAGUUGUGUUGGUUCAGACUCUUUAUAUAUAGGCUACUUCUCAUAGUUUUUUGUGCAGUCACUCUCUUUGCAGAAGAUCAUGGAUUCUCAGAUCCCCUUCAUGGAUUUGAUGAAUGAUGGGUCAACUGCAUAUGAGGCUGGCUAUGGUGGGAAUUACAAUAGUUUAGGUGUUGGAGGGGAUGGAGAUGAACGGGAGGACAACAACGACGAAGAAAAGGGUAGCAAGAGGCUACCAUGGACCGAAGAGGAUAACAUUCGAUUGGUAACUAGUUCCCUUAUGUUAUCUACUAUUUUUAUUUUAACUUGUCCAUUACAAUUGUUUAUAAUGUAGUGCAUUGAACAUGUAGAUUAGUGCUUGGUUAAACAAGCUCGGUUUGCCAUUCUACGUUAUGCAGCCAAUUAUUGGCAUCGCUCUACCCUUGCCAACAUCAUGUAUGCAUGUAUUAUACUGCAUAACAUGAUAGUAGAGGAUGAAAGAGGUAACUAUAGUGGUGCCCAUGACUAUAAUUAUGACCAAGGACGACAUCCUGUAGCACCGGUACGGCACGAGCAUGGUCCUAUUGAUGGUUUCGCCAAUUUACUAGAGAGGAAUAAUUCUGUUCGUGAUAGAGCCACUCACCGACGUCUCAAGCGUGAUCUAAUUCAGCAUAUUUGGGAUAAAUCUCAAGAGAACCGGCACAACAAUUAGGUAUAUGAUGCAAUAGUGUUUAAUUUAUAGUUUAGUUAUGUCAUAUUUGUGUAAUGUGUUACCUUUUCAAGCUUUGAUUUUUGUCGAGUCACUGAAAUAAGUUAUUUCAAGAAAUAAAAUAAGUAUAUUUUUCUUUGUUUCAAUAUAUCGUGUAGAAUGCUAUUAUCUCUCAUGGGUGAAAUGGUCUAUAGAACUGCCUGCAUGCUUUGACCAAGGGGAUAACUCCAUGCACAUGCAAGAUAACAGCCAUGCAAUAUCUUGCUAUACGGCCAAGGACCAAUUCAAUAGCCUGACUAGAUCACCUAGGGAAUAAGUCCAUGCACCUGCAACAUAACAACCGUGGUGAUUGAGAUACUAGAUGUCAACCCUCUAUAAAUAGCAUGGCAUUUAACCAGUAUAAGCACAACCCACUUUCAUGCAAGAAAAUGGAUCCUGAAGGUGCAAUUGCCAACGGAAGCAUACACUUGCAAUGGACUGAAGAAGAAGACCUGCAACUGGUAAGACAUUGUUUUCACUAUCUUCAAUGGUUGCUUUCUAUUAUUAUUGCUAAUUACUAUAGUAUGUUCAACAUGCAGAUCUUUGCGUGGUUAAACAACUCAAUUCAGGCUAUCGAUGAAAAUUUAGAGGAUUUGUGGAACCAAAUCGCCAACGAUUUCAAUGAAAAUAGUCUUCAUGAACGACGGAGGCAGUCAAUCCAAUGCAAGCGACACUGGUAUAAGCUGAAUAAUAGAAUUGUCCUAUUUCAUAGUAUGUGGCGUAGGGUGAGAGAUUUGUACAUUACUUGCAGAUCUAGUGAUGAAUUAGUGUCUAGAGCACUUGAUAUGUACAGGUCAGAAACAAACAAGUCCUUCAAAGAUCUGAACUCAUGGAGUGUGCUAAGGAAUGAGCCCCAUUGGAACUUGAUCAACUUCCAGUGAGAAGACAAUGAUGAAUUAUUUGAUAUCAUUCUAGGCGAUUGUAGGUUCAAAUAAGGUUGAAUCAGUAGUUGAGUUAAUGGUACCAUUUUUUUAAUCAGUAGUUUUUUUUGUGAGAACAUCGAUGUUUUAUUUUUGCCAACUGAUAUGUGAGAUAAGCAAAAUCACCCUAUUCUUGUAUCUACACGUCCCAAUAAAUUAGAUCAGCUGUAUGAAUCAGAUCAUAUCAAUGAGACAUGUCACUUCACAAAUCCUAGUCUGUACUAAAAGCUGUAGUAGCUUCUGAUGAGAUGAACAUGAACAGAUGAUCUCAAUUAUGCAGCAUAUGACAUGAGAAAUAAGUACAGGCAGGCACAAACAACUAUAUAAUAUAAGAAUGAUCAAAUAAUCAACUCUAUGGUCAAGCAAUCCAGUUUUUACCACCAUACUGAAAUAUAUAGCAGAUUAGGAGGGUCAAGUACUCAACCUGCAGCACUGUGCCAACGCCUCCUCCCUUCCUCCAGCAACCCAAUACCCGGACCUGAAAGCAAACAUGAUGGAAUAAAAAAAUGAUGUUUAGGCCGAACAAUCAUCAAGAAUCGGAACAGCAGCAAGGGAAGCCUCUCCAUGUGGCAGGCGCAGAUGCACAAUCGAGCUAGUACCUGAAAACGCAACACCAAAUCAACCUCGCUCCGGCAGAGCUCCGGCAGCGACCUCGCUCUCCACACCCUUCUCGUUUUUCCUACCCACACCGGCAGCAGCCAGCAGUCAGAUCCUUGCACGAAGAACGGUCGAGCGAAUCAACGAACCUCAGUUACUCACCUCUGCUAGAAGACGGAUCCUGCUCCCCUAUGCACACGGCUCGUCGAGAACCACCUGGGCCAGGUCCUUUACCCCCGGCGUGACCCCGCGCGACUCCUCCCCGACACCGGCUGCAUCAUCGAGAAAGGCCUGGACCCCCGCACGAAGGACUCCCGCGGCUGCGCCACCGGCGAAGCAGCGCCGGGCGGCUUGAGGAAGAAGCCGCGCCAUGGGAGCACCGGAGGAAGGGGCGGCGCUGUGCUUUGGAAUCGGAGCUGUCGCCGGCGUGAUUUGGGGAUUACUGUGUGGUCAGGAUACAGAGGAGAUGAGAGGAUAACGCGAGGAGGAGGGAGCUGAGCGUGUGAGCGUUAUUUUAGUGGACGGAGCUGAGCAUGCGAGCGUUAUUUUAGUCGCGUAGCAUCCCGCAUUGGAGAGAACGGGUGCCAGGCCAGGUGCUACGCCUACGUCAAACCAACUGAG
rnacentral:lncRNA from 1 species